rnacentral:rRNA from 1 species
AUUGAACGCUGGCGGCAGGCCUAACACAUGCAAGUCGAGCGGUAGAGAGAAGCUUGCUUCUCUUGAGAGCGGCGGACGGGUGAGUAAUGCCUAGGAAUCUGCCUAGUGGUGGGGGAUAACGUUCGGAAACGGACGCUAAUACCGCAUACGUCCUACGGGAGAAAGCGGGGGACCUUCGGGCCUCGCGCCAUUAGAUGAGCCUAGGUCGGAUUAGCUAGUUGGUGAGGUAAAGGCUCACCAAGGCGACGAUCCGUAACUGGUCUGAGAGGAUGAUCAGUCACACUGGAACUGAGACACGGUCCAGACUCCUACGGGAGGCAGCAGUGGGGAAUAUUGGACAAUGGGCGAAAGCCUGAUCCAGCCAUGCCGCGUGUGUGAAGAAGGUCUUCGGAUUGUAAAGCACUUUAAGUUGGGAGGAAGGGUAGUAACUUAAUACGUUGCUACUUGACGUACCGACAGAAUAAGCAC